CCAAAACAUAGAUAGCUGCACAGUUGCCACAGCAGACUGGAAAUGAAUCACAAGGAACAAAAUAAUUGGAGGUGACAAUAGCCAGAAAGGGCUGAGCUCAGAAAUAACAGGGCAUUAGAAACUGGUCGUGAGUACUGUAAUGGUGGUACCAGGCUAAGCUAACUCAAAUGUUUACGCCUUGCAUGAGUCAUUCAGCAUUAUUAAGCAUCUUUCAGCAUCAAUACCUACUGUAUACUGAGACCUUUUUGUAAAUAGUUUCUUGUAGCAUCAGAGCUGCACAUAGACUAAAGAUGGAGCAUUGGAAACUCUGUCCAGGGCUGUGAGAAUAACUUGCAUUCCAGCCCAGAAGUUGUUGGAAAGCCACCUCUUAAGGGAUUUUACAUUAUAUCAAGUAGGAAUGCUGGAAUUUUACUCAGAGCUAUCUACGAAAGAUCAUGUGGAAGGAAUCUAAAGAACUGGAUACAGGUGGACUUGUCUGCUGUGUGUUCACAGAUGUAUUCACUGACUAGUACUGCAAAUGCUCCACCUAUAAACCUUGCAGAAGAUACCACAAUUGAGUUAGACAAGUAUUGAAGAAAUGGAGCAAGCAACAGGUACAGAAAUCAAUAUAAGAAGCCAUCCAUCUGUUUCGAUUGCUGAAAGAUCUUGCAGAAAGUGAACAAUUAAUUUCUUAUCUCUGUGACUGUGCCGAUGAUGUCACAGCAACUAAUGCCAAAAUUUAGUGUUGUUUGCCCAUAACAAAGUACUUGAAGGCAGUCCACCCACUCAAACUACACUGACACAGAAUGUUUCUGAGCAGUCCUAUGGUUUAAUUGCUGGCAGCAAAUGUUCUAAAAAAUACAAUCUUUAGCAAAUCCGGAGUCACGUGAAUGAAAACUGGCAGUCUAUUUGGAUGAUUGUGCCUGAGGUAGCAAAUAAUUUCUGAUUAUGUUAUGAUAGUGGGAUGAAAAAUAAGUAAAGAAGAUAUUUCAAAGUCUACUCUAUAAUUCAGAUUUACUGUGGGACUGAGAGGUUGUCCAUGAGAUGGUGAAUGCAACUGUACAGCCAUCAAGAAUACAAGAGAAGUAUCGAAAAAUGUAAUAAAGAUAUAAAUGGCAUCUUUUUAUUUCAUAAUUGUGUCUUGAACUGUAACCAUUCUUGAAAUUUUCAAGUUGGCUUAAAGACUAGGUAUACGCACAUCUUAGUGGCAGGGCAUAAAGAGAAACAACAUGACACAGAAAAUGAUAUGUAGAGGAAGAAUCUUUAAAUUUAUUCCUAGUGGUUUUUAUGUUUUGUUUUGUCUUGCUUUUCACGUAUAAAGGACAUAUUAAUACAUGAGUUUUAAAGAAAGGCCCUACCCUGGAAAUACCAUAUCUUCAAAAUCAUACAGCAUUUACAGUAAGUGACUGCAUAUCUCUAGUCGUAGGUCUUAACAGCAAGCCAACUUCAUAAAUGUUACAUCCACACACGUAUCAUAUAUUCAUGCUGCUGAGAGAAGAAAAAAGUGCAAUGUGUUAGUGAAGAAUAAAAAAGAUCAAGCUGUGAAAAAUGACAGGAUGCCUACCAAGGUAAUGGAUACCAAGAGACUGCUGAGGAGGUAAGCACCGGGCCACAUCUGGAAUUGCUACUUUCAAAUUAGAGAAUUUAAAUGGAGUUACAGUAGUUAAUGUGUCCAAGUGUCUUCAGCAGAAAAGGCCACAGAAAAAAGGACAUGUUACCAGAAAGCAAAAAGUAAUGUAAAGCAAUGGAGCAAUCAGGAGAGAGAUCUUCUCUUUGUCUCUGUUAAGAGUUGAUAGAAUGUCUGUUUUGAAAGAUGGUUCAAAGAGGUUCAUUUACUAAAAAAAAGCACCUAGAAAUGGAAAUUUCAAAGUCGGUCUAUCAAAUUUGGACUUACGUGGUCAGAUCUGACUGAAACUGUAGAGGUUUAUGAAUAUGUGCAGACCUCUUAUCUAUGCUUAUCAAAGCUAGAUAGGUCCUACCCUAUUUUUUAAACUAGGCACUAAAUAUUGUACCUUCGCAUCUACUAUAGCACAGCUCAUUUGAGUUUGAACAAAGUUAAAUGAUCUGAUGGCUGCCAAAAAGAAAGAAAAUAUGACCUUAUACUGGAACAACUUCAGUGCUUUUAUGCAGACAGCACUGUAAAGGCAAAAAAUUGAAUAUCUGUUAUGUUUAAAUGUGUAUUUUAAAAAAGAAAAUUUAUCAUAAGCUCACACUGUAUUUGUCCAUGCAUGUAAGGUAAACUUCAUCUAAUUCACUUGAUUGAAUUUGCAGGGUAUUUUAAUCCAUAUAACAUGCUCAUAACAACACAUAGAACAGCAUUAGUGGAUUUCAGUGAUUUGAACAUUUGAAGGUGCACAGACGGAAUAUAUGGGUGAGAUUCAUCUUCAUUGACUUGUAUCUCUGAGAAAUUCUUGGGACCCUACAAAUUGUGCAAAACACUUUAUUUUGUAGGAGGUAGCAGUAUGCAGAAUGCUUUUCCUCUGACCCCGAGUAAAAGAAUGUGUAAGAGUGUAAGAAAUUCCUGAAGGAAAAGACUAUAGACUUCUCUGUGUUCUUUUUUUUUUUUUUAUUAUUUAUUAUUAUUAUUAUUUUUAUGUGGUAAAGAUGGUUUUAAAAGUAGACAUUCCAUUUACCUAAAAGAUGUAUUUUAUGGUUCUGCAGUGUGAGGUUUGAUUUUUUUUUGGAAAUUCUACUAUUGUGUUGUUUGCAUGUCACCUUCAGCAUAGCGAUCCAGACUUCAGAAUCUUUGUUUGAAGGGGAUUGUUCGCAUUAAUGGGCCCAAAGUAGUUUUAACCCUUAGAAAGCUGAGAGCACUAGCUGAUCUCAGCAUCGAUAUGAGCAGUUAUUAUGCAGAUCUAUACCUUUCAGCUCCACCAGUUUAUCACAAUGCACAGCUUCUUACCUUCUCCAGUCUU
rnacentral:lncRNA from 1 species